rnacentral:rRNA from 1 species
CAGCAGCCGCGGUAAUACCGGCGGCCCGAGUGGCGGCCACUAUUAUUGGGCCUAAAGCGUCCGUAGCCGGGCUGGUAAGUCCUCCGGGAAAUCUGGUCGCUUAACGAUCAGACUUCCGGAGGAUACUGCUGGCCUAGGGACCGGGAGAGGCCGGGGGGAUUCCCGGGGUAGGGGUGAAAUCCUGUAAUCCCGGGAGGACCACCUGUGGCGAAGGCGCUCGGCUGGAACGGGUCCGACGGUGAGGGACGAAGGCCAGGGGAGCGAACCGGAUUAGAUACCCGGGUAGUCCUGGCGGUAAACGAUGCGGACUAGGUGUCGGGCAAGCUAAGGGCUUGUCCGGUGCCGCAGGGAAGCCGUUAAGUCCGCCGCCUGGGGAGUACGGCCGCAAGGCUGAAACUUAAAGGAAUUGGCGGG